AUUCGUAUCACUUAAUUUUUUAUAUAUUUAAUCAUCUUUUAAUUGUUUCGGCAUCAACCGGACCAUUCCUCUCUAUUAUGGUCAUGUGCAAUGGAGUGGUGCCUUUCAGGCUGACACUAGUUUAGAUGAACUUUGGAUCUUAUCGUUAUUUGUUUAGAGCUCCACUUGAAUUUAGUUGGAAGUCGAUCUGGGGACCAUUUAUUUGGCAAUAAUGGCGUCCUUGCUUUUGGCCCAGUCGAUCUGAAUGGUGUGUCAAACUUCUCUACCGUUCAUCUUGGGAUGCCCACCAUUACUGUUACUACUAGUUAAUGUAGGCUUUAGAAAGAAGAAAAAGAGAUGUUCCAAGACCCUAAAAGCUUCUCUCCCAUCUCUGUCUCCCUGCAAAACUACCAGUACGAAACAAGUAAGAAGGUCUUUGAAGACUAAGCAUUCAGAAGAUAUAUAGAAAAUAUGGAGAGAAAUGUAUUUUUUUUCUUCUGCAGCCCAGUUGUCCUUGUUGAAUAUAUUAACCUAUCUUUGAAAAAUCACUUUCUAUAUUGUUAUGUGUAAUGUCCUCUCAUCGAUUAUAUGUAUGUUGAAUUUUCUUGUUUUCUUUUUGGCAUA